rnacentral:tRNA from 1 species
GUCUGUGUAGAUUAUUAAAAUCGUGAUGCUGUUAACUUCAAGAAGGGAUCUAUUUUCUCCAUGGUCG